rnacentral:rRNA from 1 species
UCAACCGCUGGCGGCGCGCUUAACACAUGCAAGUCGCACGAGAAAGGGAGCAAUCCCAAGUAAAGUGGCGCACGGGUGAGUAACACGUGGAUCAUCCACCUUCUUGUGGGGAAUAACCUGGGGAAACCCGAGCUAAUACCGCAUAAGCCCGAGAGGGGAAAGCAGCAAUGCGCAGGAAGAGGAGUCCGCGGUCGAUUAGCUAGUUGGUAGGGUAAAAGCCUACCAAGGCUAUGAUCGAUAGCCGGCCUGAGAGGGCACACGGCCACACUGGCACUGAAACACGGGCCAGACUCCUACGGGAGGCAGCAGUGGGGAAUCUUGCACAAUGGGGGAAACCCUGAUGCAGCGACGCCGCGUGGGUGAUGAAGUCCUUCGGGAUGUAAAGCCCUUUCGACGGGAACGAUAAUGACGGUACCCGGAGAAGAAGCUGCGGCUAACUACGUGCCAGCAGCCGCGGUAAUACGUAGGCAGCAAGCGUUGUUCGGAGUUACUGGGCGUAAAGAGUAUGUAGGCGGUUGGGUAAGUUUGGUGUGAAAUCUCCCGGCUUAACUGGGAGGGUGCGCUAAAGACUGCCUGGCUC